AAGAGUUUACUGCACAGACCCUUUUAAAAAGUGAUAGCAGGGGUUUCUUCAUUCCAAAUAAAAUGGUAAGAAUAUUUUUCUCCAAAGUAAGUAGUUGAUUUGUUUUAAAAGUUCACAUUUCUUCCCUAUCCCACCAUGUCGUUUCCUUAGAAGGGUACUACAUACACUAUGGGGGAAUUUCCUCUUCCAAGAUUCUAUGCAGUUGAAAAAAAAUCUGGAGAAAAAUCAAAUAAAUUCAAGAAAUAUCCUAGCUGCUUUCUAUAGGCAGAUUCAAGGGAAAUUAAUUUCAACACAACCUAAGGAACUCUGACUCCUGCAUCUAUGACUGAAGCUAGUGGAAAUAAUGGCUCCGCAGUGCACGGAGAAAUAGCAAGCGAGUUCCUGUAUUCCUUUCUGGUUCAAGUAGUUCAGGAAAACUCUGUUAUACUGUUCUAGGCUCUAAUGAAGAAACGUUCCAUACUGGCACGUCAUUGGCCUUAUGUUAAAUGAAUCAACCUGAGGAUAACAGAUAGACAAGGACCCUCAAAAAUGAGCAUAACCUUUGGUCUCUGUUUUCAAAUUCUUAGCUCCAUCAAGCCCCAAACAACCCUCAUGAGUCAUUGUAACCAUGAGGACUGACAAAGGAUGUACUCUAUGGGAGUGUGCGUGCGUACU
rnacentral:lncRNA from 1 species